UCCCGGUUAACCCGGGCAGUCUCACUAGAGUUCCCACCUUAAAUGUUGGCAACUAGUGAUAAGGGUUGCGCUCGUUGCGGGACUUAACCCAACACCUCACGGCACGAGCUGACGACAGCCAUGCAGCACCUGUUCAUAGGCUCCGAAGAGAGACUCUGUUUCUAGAGCUGUCCUAUGUAUGUCAAGCCUGGGUAAGGUUCUUCGCGUUGCAUCGAAUUAAACCACAUGCUCCACUGCUUGUGCGGGUCCCCGUCAAUUCUUUUGAGUUUCAGCCUUGCGACUGUACUCCCCAGGCGGUAUACUUAUCGCGUUAGCUACGGCACAGCCAGGGUUGAUUCCAGCUACACCAAGUAUACAUCGUUUACGGCAAGGACUAC
rnacentral:misc_RNA from 1 species